rnacentral:hammerhead_ribozyme from 1 species
AUCCAGCUGACGAAUCCCAAAUAGGACGAAACAAGCUUCAAACUGGAU